UACGUAGGGUGCAAGCGUUAAUCGGAAUUACUGGGCGUAAAGCGCGCGCAGGCGGUCUUCCAAGUCAGUGGUGAAAGCCCGGAGCUCAACUCCGGAACUGCCAUUGAAACUGUAAGACUUGAGGACGAGAGAGGUGAGUGGAAUUCCCAGUGUAGAGGUGAAAUGCGUAGAUAUUGGGAAGAACACCGGUGGCGAAGGCGGCGACCUGGUCCGAUACUGACGCUGAGGCGCGAAAGCGUGGGGAGCAAACAGG
rnacentral:rRNA from 1 species